rnacentral:rRNA from 1 species
GACGAACGCUGGCGGCGUGCUUAACACAUGCAAGUCGAGCGAUGAAGUUUUUUCGGAAAUGGAUUAGCGGCGAACGGGUGAGGAACACGUGAAGAAUCUGCCCUCCACUUUGGGAUAACACAGGGAAACCUGUGCUAAUACCGAAUAUUGAAACAUAAGUGGCAUCACUGAGUUUUGAAAGAAUUUCGGUGGAGGAUGACUUCGCGGCCUAUCAGCUAGUUGGUGAGGUAAUGGCUCACCAAGGCAACGACGGGUAGCCGGCCUGAGAGGGCGACCGGACACACUGGGACUGAGACACGGCCCAGACUCCUACGGGAGGCAGCAGUGGGUAAUAUUGGGCAAUGGAGGAAACUCUGACCCAGCGACGCCGCGUGCGGGAUGAAGGCCUUCGGGUUGUAAACCGCUUUCAGUAGGGAAGAAGCGAAAGUGACGGUACCUACAAAAGAAGCACCGGCUAACUAUGUGCCAGCAGCCGCAGUAA